GAUGAACGCUAGCGGCAGGCCUAACACAUGCAAGUCGAGGGGCAUCGCGGUGCAGCAAUGCACUGGCGGCGACCGGCGUACGGGUGCGUAACGCGUAUGCAACCUGCCCCGCACCGGGGGAUAGCCCGCCGAAAGGCGGAUUAAUACCCCAUGGUCCCGGGGGCCCGCAUGGGCAUCCGGGUAAAGCCUUGGCGGUGCGGGAUGGGCAUGCGUGCCAUUAGCUGGCUGGUGGGGUAACGGCCCACCAGGGCAACGAUGGCUAGGGGGUCUGAGAGGAUGGUCCCCCACACUGGUACUGAGACACGGACCAGACUCCUACGGGAGGCAGGCAGUGAGGAAUAUUGGUCAAUGGGCGGAAGCCUGAACCAGCCAUGCCGCGUGCGGGAUGAAGGCCCUACGGGUUGUAAACCGCUUUUCCCGGGAAGAUAACCCCGAUGAGUCGGGGGAUGCCGGUACCGGGGGAAUAAGGAUCGGCUAACUCCGUGCCAGCAGCCGCGGUAACUAGUCUACG
rnacentral:rRNA from 1 species